UACGGGGGAUGCAGGCGUUAUCCGGAAUCAUUGGGCGUAAAGCGCCUGUAGGUUGUUUAAUAAGUCUGUUGUUAAAGCCUAGGGCUUAACCCUAGAAAAGCAAUGGAAACUACUAGACUAGAGUAUGGCAGGGGUAGAGGGAAUUUCUAGUGUAGCGGUGAAAUGCGUAGAUAUUAGAAAGAACACCGGUGGCGAAAGCGCUCUACUGGGCCAUUACUGACACUCAGAGGCGAAAGCUAGGGUAGCAAAAGGGAUUAGAUACCCCUGUAGUCCUAGCCGUAAACGAUGGAUACUAGAUGUUGUGCUUCAUGUACAGUAUCGUAGCUAACGCGUUAAGUAUCCCGCCUGGGGAGUACGCUCGCAAGGGUG
rnacentral:rRNA from 1 species